GACGUAGGGUGCAAGCGUUGUCCGGAUUUAUUGGGCGUAAAGAGCUCGUAGGCGGCUUGUUGCGUCGACUGUGAAAACCCGCGGCUUAACCGCGGGCUUGCAGUUGAUACGGGCAGGCUAGAGUUCGGUAGGGGAGACUGGAAUUCCUGGUGUAGCGGUGAAAUGCGCAGAUAUCAGGAGGAACACCGGUGGCGAAGGCAGGUCUCUGGGCCGAUACUGACGCUGAGGAGCGAAAGCGUGGGGAGCGAACAGG
rnacentral:rRNA from 1 species